UACGGGGGGGGCAAGCGUUGUUCGGAAUUACUGGGCGUAAAGGGCGCGUAGGCGGCUUCGGAAGUCAAGGGUGAAAGCCCCGAGCUCAACUCGGGAACUGCCUUUGAAACCACGGAGCUAGAGUGUUGGAGAGGAAAGCGGAAUUUCCAGUGUAGCGGUGAAAUGCGUAGAUAUUGGAAGGAACAUCUGAGGCGAAGGCGGCUUUCUGGACAGACACUGACGCUGAGGCGCGAAAGCCAGGGGAGCAAACGGG
rnacentral:rRNA from 1 species